AUGAAUUUCUGCUAAACCUUUUCGAAAAUGAAAAAGAAUGUUCAUAGUAUGUUUCUUAAACCCUAUUCAUGGGUAGAGCCUCAUUUCAAGAAUUUGAAAGAGAGUUGUUAUGUGAAUCUUUUAUCAGUACAGAUUACUUCACAACUUUUGAUUCGUUGUAGAAGUGUUAUGUAAAGGGAAUACUUAUAUUCUUUCAGCUUAUAUAUAUAAUUGCUAUUACUUGCUGGGCACUCAAAUGCUCAUCCUUGCUUAAAUCAAAUGUUUUCAGUUAUGUAUGAGCAACCUGAAGGCUCAGGCACGAACAAAGGAAAAGGAAAGCUGAUCGAAUAAGUGUGUAUUAUGAGUUAAUGGUUAUAGCUGUAUGGAUAUCUAUUCAAGUAUUGUAAGGAAUGUAUUUGAAGGUCUCGUACCUGGGAAGUAAACUUUGAUGUAUGUAAAUUAAGUUUGAAUGUAAUAUUACUACUGUAUUAUUCAGCUUAUAGAAAUGGUAUCGUGAAGCACUGAGUUCGGGUUUCAAGUAUCCGGAUUUGGGGGCGUCACAGG
rnacentral:lncRNA from 1 species